rnacentral:rRNA from 1 species
CUAUACAUGCAGUCGAGCGAACAGACGAGGAGCUUGCUCCUCUGACGUUAGCGGCGGACGGGUGAGUAACACGUGGAUAACCUACCUAUAAGACUGGGAUAACUUCGGGAAACCGGAGCUAAUACCGGAUAAUAUAUUGAACCGCAUGGUUCAAUAGUGAAAGACGGUUUUGCUGUCACUUAUAGAUGGAUCCGCGCCGCAUUAGCUAGUUGGUAAGGUAACGGCUUACCAAGGCAACGAUGCGUAGCCGACCUGAGAGGGUGAUCGGCCACACUGGAACUGAGACACGGUCCAGACUCCUACGGGAGGCAGCAGUAGGGAAUCUUCCGCAAUGGGCGAAAGCCUGACGGAGCAACGCCGCGUGAGUGAUGAAGGUCUUCGGAUCGUAAAACUCUGUUAUUAGGGAAGAACAAAUGUGUAAGUAACUAUGCACGUCUUGACGGUACCUAAUCAGAAAGCCACGGCUAACUACGUGCCAGCAGCGGCCGGUAAUA